rnacentral:lncRNA from 10 species
UUUCGAUACGUUACCAAACGGUCUCCUACAAAGGCAGAAACCGUUUAAAUAUUUCAGAAGGAUUGAUUUUCAUUUUGCAAAUAUAAUACUGGUUCAUUUUCUUUCUCUUCCUCCAUCCAUUCUACUAUUGAACAUAAAACGUGUCAAUAGUAUUGUAGUUCAGCAUGUAUCUCAGGAUAUUAAAAGGGCAGUGUGACUCAGCUAGAAAAGGAUGAACUUUCCCCAAAGAUAAAGUGACCUAUGCGACUCUGUUGGGUACAAGUGACACAGAAAGUCAUCUCAAACUAGCUGAAACACAAAAGCGCAGGAAGGCGGAAGGGAAGGCGGAGACCGGCAAGAGAGGGGAGAAGGCCCGGGGAAGACGCUCGGGACCAAGAUGCGGGGCCCGGGUGCGAGCAGCUGAACCUCUCGGCCCCCAGGCGUGGUGACCUGGGUGGCGACGCUCGUGGAGGCCGAGGAGCUUCUGGACCGGCGCUUCGGGGGACCAAGUGGAGAGGCUGCUGGAGUUGUCGCCUGAGUCCUCCCUUAGUUCUUCGCGCCGGCCUCGCCCACGGCUCCGGGUCCCAGCCGCCACUGCAGUCUCCGCAGCACCGAGCGGGGCUCCACCGACUCGCGACCUCCAGCCUCCGCCUCAAGGGCAGGGAGCGCGGCUGGGUCUCUGGAAAGCCAUUUUUAAAUCACUGCCUCUGCUGCCCCCAUGUGAGGUCGGAGUGUCCUCCCCCGUCUUUGCUUUCAGGUUCUUUCAGGUUCCUUUGGGCAAACCCGCAGCUAAGAGUCCAGCUUGUGAACUUGAACCUGAACUUGCUGAAGAAGCUCCCGGCGGCCCCCUGCUGUCUGCGGCCUUUGUUUGAGGGAGAGGCUGGGGUCACCCGGUUGGGCCGCAUUUCCGGGGCCGUCACCUGUCGGGCUGCCAGGCCGCGCGUACCUUGUCCCAUCGGGGGCUCUGCUCUGCCCCCUGCGCUGAUGACGCGGGUGGAAGGGAGGUAUCAGGGGCACUCUGGGGAGCUGUACCUGGCGGGCACCCCCCAGCUGCUCUCCGUGGGGUACGACACCGAGACCUGGUUGGGCUGCAAGGAGACCGACUGGGAUUCCCGGGCUGGUGGCCGGGGAGACGAAGGCGGGGGGUGAGAGGCAGGAACCCAGGAGGCCCCAGGCCCAGCGCUGUGGGGCUGCUGUUGUCGUUCUGCGUGGAGGUCUGGCCAAACUGGCUUUUGCCCCGAGUGAGGAAUUCCUGCUCUUUUUUGGUUUUGGUAAGAGGUCGCUAUUCACAGAGGGGGCGGGGUUCGUCCCCUCCAGGCGAGUACGGGGCUGGCGGGCGCAGUGCUGCCUUUCUGCUCUGUCUCUUGAUCCCGCUUAGGAUCUUUGUGGCUCCUCUGAGUCUUCUUAGAGAGGCCGUGAAAGAUGGGAAAGGCAGGUUGCUGAAACGCUGCUGCUCGGGGCUGGCAGAGACCCUGGUAUAGGGAAGGCGCACCACUGUGGGUCAGAUCAGCUGACAGUGGGGGUUUUAGGUGAUGGGGUAACCUUACAGUUCGGAUCUCUUAGAACCCAGAAGCAGGUAGGCGAUCGCUGCUUCAUCACACUUCACAGGGAGUCCUGGAUCUUUCCUGUCCGUAACCCAUGGACGCCAUGAUUCAGUAUGGCGGAGGUCCGGGGCUUAAGUUCCUGUUCAUGCUUCCUAAUCAUUCAUGGAUCCAUCACAAUGUGCUCUGAAGGGCCUCUCUUGCUGGGAUUGAGAAGGAUACAUUUUUUGAGCAGGUUUUUAUACUCAAUGGACAUGUAGAAGGGAAUAUAUUCUACUCAGUUCCCCUCCUGCAGCUCCUUGAAAUUCUGUCCAUCAAAAGCAGGGAUCUGCUGACCAGAGGUGACUGCCACAGAAGGUAUCCAGUUUGUAAAAGCUGAAUUUGUUGCUGAAGCCAGAAUUUGCAAUCUUGAUGUUUGUGUUAACAUCCAAGAGCGUGUUUUCUGCCUUUAAAUCUCUGUGGACAAUACGUUUCUGGUGACAGCUUGCACAGCAGACACUUUUGGUAGAAUUUGCUUCAGUCCUUUUUUUUUCUUUCCUGCUGCCAUGAGCAGGUAUUCACAAACUUCUCCUCCUGGCUAGUGUGCUUCAUGACAAAGCAAAGAGAUUCCUCAAUAUCGAUCACAGCAAAUGUUUCACUAUGUUGGGGUGAUCCGAGCCUUCAUGGUUCCUACUUUGUGGAUGGUGUCUGGAGGAGAUCUGCUGAGUCUCAUCAAUGAACUUCACAGCUGCUGCUUUCCCAGUUAAGAGGUCCCAGGCCAACCUUACCUUAGCCAGGUUGCCCUUGACGAUGGUCUCAAGGAUCCUAGCUGCCAGUAAGGGUCCCUUCUCAGCAGAGAUGGCUGAGAGGCCCUGUGGCAUGUGAGACUUACUGCUGGGCUUGGAGUCAAGGUGUCCCAGGUCAGCUUAAUUUCGGGAAAAACUGGUAAGACGCUUGGUUCAAAUCACUUGAAAAGAAAAUCACUUGCAUAGUUCACCUGAAGAAUGGAUCUCUAUAAUGGAAUUAAAGCACAAUGCUGGACAAAAAGUAAGAAAAAGCAACAAACUGAAAGGAAAAAUUGAGUAAAAAGAAUAAAGAACUAGAACUGGCAACCUCAGCCAAGCCAGGGAAUUACAUACAUCUUGGAAUUCCAAAGCAAUGCUUCCUUAUGAGGGCAUAGGAAGAAAUAAAUCUAAUAACAAGGCUGGGAUUAAUUCACGUGGUUUUCUCACAUUUUGGUCUCAAGAACUUUUUACUCUAAAACUAAUUAUUGAGGACCCCAAAGAGCUUUUUAUGUGGGUUAUAGUUAUCAGUAUUUACUUUAUUGGAAAUUAAAACCUGUAGGAUGUUUCAGUGGUCUUUUCUAGUUUGAAGGGUUUAAUAAUUUUUGGCUUUUAAAGAGCCCAUAAUCAAUUAAAAUAUUUUAUUUUCCUUUAAAUUGUAAAUGAUUGGUGUCAUAAUGAUGCUACAACUUAACUGGCAUUACAAUACUAUACAAAUACGUUCUAUUGUAUAAGUCACAAUAAGGUACAUUAUUAACUCUAUAACAUUUAGGGGAAGAUAGCUGUUAUCAUAUUAUUUAAAGUUUUGCCUAGUUUCUUUGUAGUAGACUUAUCUUUUCCAGGAGCCAGAGAACCCGCUAUAUCAGUUUCAGUAUCUUUAAAUGUAGAGAUUGCAGCUGUGUGUUGAGAAAGCACGUUUCACUUAGCAUGGGAUGGGGACUUCGAGGUACUGGAUAUGUCACUGGCACCUCAGGGGAGGAAACCAAGAUGCCCCUAUAUGAUUUUAAACAUGGUUUAUUAAAGCGUGAUACAGAAAAGUGCACAAAUUGUCCACCUACAGCUUGGUGACUGUUCACAAAUUGAACUCAUCUAACUAGCCUCCAGAAUAAGAAACAGGCCUUUACACACCCCCACCAGCCUCCCAAUCCCCUUUUCAGUCACCUUCUCUGCAGUGAUAACCACUAUUCUAUAUUCUGACAGCAUAGUUUCACUUGUUUUUUAACUUCACAUAAAUGGGAUCAGACAGUAUUGAAUCCUUUGUGUCUGCUUCCUUCACUCAAUAUUUUCCUGAGAUUUUUCUAUAUUGUUUAUUCUAAAUGCCCAUUGUACGACUGUAACACAAUUUGUUUAUCCAUUUUACUGUUCUUGGGCAUUUGGGUAGUUCUCACUGUGGAUGCUAAGAAGAGUGUUGCUAUAAACAUUCAGGUCUUUUGGUAAGCAUAUACCUGGCUUUCUGUUGGCUAUUUAUACCUAGAAAUAGAGUUGCUGGCUUAUAAGGUAUGCAUAUUUUUAGUUUUAGUAGACAUUGCAGUUUGUACCAAUUCACCCACCCACCAAUGUGAAUAUCUAAUAUUGCCUGCCUGUCUGUACGUGUGUACUGGUAUAGCAUUGUGGUUUUAAUUUGCAUUUUCCAGUGCCUAAUGAAAUAAAGCACCUUUUAAUAUGCUUAUUGGACAUA